rnacentral:rRNA from 1 species
UACGGAGGGUGCGAGCGUUAUCCGGAAUCACUGGGUUUAAAGGGUGCGUAGGCGGCUCGGUAAGUCCGUUGUGAAAGCCCCUUGCUUAACGAGGGAGGUGCGAUUGAUACUGUCGAGCUUGAAUCGGGAUGAGGCAGGCGGAAGGUGGCAUGUAGCGGUGAAAUGCAAAGAUAUGCCAUAGAACACCGAUUGCGAAGGCAGCCUGCUGGGCCUGUAUUGACGCUGAGGCACGAAAGCGUGGGGAGCAAACAGG